rnacentral:lncRNA from 1 species
AAGGUUUGAACAACAUGAAUCCCAGAUGCUAAUUGAAAACCUAUGAAAAAGUUUUUGUGGGAAAACAUUAUGAACGUACAAAUGAAGUUUCUGAUUUCGGUUGAGGGUUCUGAUUUCGACAGCACUCCUCACCGUCUGAUCGUCUGAUCAACUUGUUCUGUGUCUCAGCUGUGUGUGUGUGGCCUAUGCACAGAAAUAAUAACUUAUUAAAAAUCCUAUGUUUGGAGUUCUUAAUUUAUAUUUAAUUAAUAUAUCACAUUCUGCAAAACUUAAUAAAUUCCUAAUCAUAUCCAAACAGAGGGGGGCAGUCGCUUUCACUUAUUCAUGGUUCAGAGAUGGUCGUCAUUUAUUUCUCUAGGGGGUAAAACGUAUCCAAUUUUAACUAACAAAAUCUAACAUUGACUUCCUGCAAGGACACUGUUAUUAGGGAGGAAGAAGGAAGGGAGGAAGAGAAGAAGGAAGGAAGGAAAAAACAAGGGAAGAAAGGAAGGAGAAAGGAAGGAAGGAAAGAGGGAGGGAGGAAGAAAGGAAAGAUGCAAGGAAGGAAGGAAGAGAAAAGAAAAAAAAGGGAGAGGUUGUGGCAGGGGUCCUUGAGUUGUUUUGAGGUGCUAAUAACCUUGAGAGAGACACGAAAUAACAAAAUAACGAGGUCACUUUUACAAGCAAUAUGCGGAAUCUGCAAACUGAUGUGAUACAGUACAAAAGCCUGUGCUGGCCGGCCGGCUUCAGCGAGGGCAGGGACUGGGGGCGGGUCACUCUCCCUUGUAACUGAGCACCUAGCUUGGGAGCUGGCAGAACAAGCUCGCAAGUAUUUGUUGAGCAAAUGAAUGAGAAGAGUCUGAAGAGACGACUAGCCAGUGGCGUUAGGCUGAUAGCAUUCCAUAAAGCAGAUGAAUUUGGAGUUAGAUCCUAAAACCGGGGAGGGACGUGGACUGGCAGUCAGGAGUGGAGGAAUAAGGAGUGCAAUUGGAUGGCCCAAGCUGCAGAGGCAAAGAGCAAAGCCACGUUAGGGAUGACCUUGCCCUUGCCUUGGCUGCAGCAGAGGGCUUGACUGCAGAAGGAGAGGAGCAGGAGGCUGGAGGAGAAAGGUGGUAGUGGAGCAGGAGGUUGUGGGAUUUGUACUCUAUACAUUAGGCAGCGUCACCACGACCUUGAGCAGAGCAGUGACAGGAUGAAAUCUGGGUUUGAGGAAAAUUACUUUAGCAGCUGUUUGUAGA